rnacentral:rRNA from 1 species
GCCCGGGGGGGGUGCCCUAAUACAUGCAAGUCGAACGCGUUGGCCCAAUUGAUUGAUGGUGCUUGCACCUGAUUGAUUUUGGUCGCCAACGAGUGGCGGACGGGUGAGUAACACGUAGGUAACCUGCCCAGAAGCGGGGGACAACAUUUGGAAACAGAUGCUAAUACCGCAUAACAGCGUUGUUCGCAUGAACAACGCUUAAAAGAUGGCUUCUCGCUAUCACUUCUGGAUGGACCUGCGGUGCAUUAGCUUGUUGGUGGGGUAACGGCCUACCAAGGCGAUGAUGCAUAGCCGAGUUGAGAGACUGAUCGGCCACAAUGGGACUGAGACACGGCCCAUACUCCUACGGGAGGCAGCAGUAGGGAAUCUUCCACAAUGGGCGCAAGCCUGAUGGAGCAACACCGCGUGAGUGAAGAAGGGUUUCGGCUCGUAAAGCUCUGUUGUUAAAGAAGAACACGUAUGAGAGUAACUGUUCAUACGUUGACGGUAUUUAACCAGAAAGUCACGGCUAACUACGUGCCAGCAGCCGCGGUAAUACGUAGGUGGCAAGCGUUAUCCGGAUUUAUUGGGCGUAAAGAGAGUGCAGGCGGUUUUCUAAGUCUGAUGUGAAAGCCUUCGGCUUAACCGGAGAAGUGCAUCGGAAACUGGAUAACUUGAGUGCAGAAGAGGGUAGUGGAACUCCAUGUGUAGCGGUGGAAUGCGUAGAUAUAUGGAAGAACACCAGUGGCGAAGGCGGCUACCUGGUCUGCAACUGACGCUGAGACUCGAAAGCAUGGGUAGCGAACAGGAUUAGAUACCCUGGUAGUCCAUGCCGUAAACGAUGAGUGCUAGGUGUUGGAGGGUUUCCGCCCUUCAGUGCCGGAGCUAACGCAUUAAGCACUCCGCCUGGGGAGUACGACCGCAAGGUUGAAACUCAAAGGAAUUGACGGGGGCCCGCACAAGCGGUGGAGCAUGUGGUUUAAUUCGAAGCUACGCGAAGAACCUUACCAGGUCUUGACAUCUUGCGCCAACCCUAGAGAUAGGGCGUUUCCUUCGGGAACGCAAUGACAGGUGGUGCAUGGUCGUCGUCAGCUCGUGUCGUGAGAUGUUGGGUUAAGUCCCGCAACGAGCGCAACCCUUGUUACUAGUUGCCAGCAUUAAGUUGGGCACUCUAGUGAGACUGCCGGUGACAAACCGGAGGAAGGUGGGGACGACGUCAGAUCAUCAUGCCCCUUAUGACCUGGGCUACACACGUGCUACAAUGGACGGUACAACGAGUCGCGAACUCGCGAGGGCAAGCAAAUCUCUUAAAACCGUUCUCAGUUCGGACUGCAGGCUGCAACUCGCCUGCACGAAGUCGGAAUCGCUAGUAAUCGCGGAUCAGCAUGCCGCGGUGAAUACGUUCCCGGGCCUUGUACACACCGCCCGUCACACCAUGAGAGUUUGUAACACCCAAAGUCGGUGGGGUAACCUUUUAGGAGCCAGCCGCCUAAAGGGGACCAAAUA